UGAGGAAUAUUGGACAAUGGGCGAGAGCCUGAUCCAGCCAUGCCGCGUGCAGGAUGACUGCCCUAUGGGUUGUAAACUGCUUUUAUACAGGAAGAAACUGCUCUACGUGUAGAGCCCUGACGGUACUGUAAGAAUAAGGAUCGGCUAACUCCGUGCCAGCAGCCGCGGUAAUACGGAGGAUCCAAGCGUUAUCCGGAAUCAUUGGGUUUAAAGGGUCCGUAGGUGGAUAAUUAAGUCAGAGGUGAAAUCCUGCAGCUCAACUGUAGAAUUGCCUUUGAUACUGGUUAUCUUGAGUUACUAUGAAGUAGUUAGAAUAUGUAGUGUAGCGGUGAAAUGCAUAGAUAUUACAUAGAAUACCAAUUGCGAAGGCAGAUUACUAAUAGUACACUGACACUGAUGGACGAAAGCGUGGGUAGCGAACGGG
rnacentral:rRNA from 1 species